rnacentral:rRNA from 1 species
CCUGGUGGCCCUUGCGGAGGGCCCCCACCCGAUCCCAUCCCGAACUCGGCCGUGAAACCCCCCAGCGCCAAUGGUACUGCGACAAAAGUCGCGGGAGAGUAGGUCGCCGCCAGGC